UACGUAGGGUGCGAGCGUUAAUCGGAAUUACUGGGCGUAAAGCGUGCGCAGGCGGCUUUGCAAGACAGAUGUGAAAUCCCCGGGCUCAACCUGGGAACUGCAUUUGUGACUGCAAGGCUAGAGUACGGCAGAGGGGGAUGGAAUUCCGCGUGUAGCAGUGAAAUGCGUAGAUAUGCGGAGGAACACCAAUGGCGAAGGCAAUCCCCUGGGCCUGUACUGACGCUCAUGCACGAAAGCGUGGGGAGCAAAC
rnacentral:rRNA from 1 species